rnacentral:lncRNA from 1 species
CUGACAUACACCCUCUUCCCCAAAAGGAGGGGCAGAACAAACAUUUAUGCAGCACCUACCCUGUUCUAGGCACUAAAUUUAUAGCUUUACAAAUAUUAUCUCAUUUGAUCCUAACAACAACUCUGGGAAGGAGGUACUAUUAUUAUCACCCCCAUUUUACAGUUGAGGAAAUUGAGGCCAUUUCAAUUGAUGUGACUUGCCCAGGGUCACACAGCUAGUAAAUAUCUGAGGCUUGAUUUGAACUCGGGUUCCUUCCUGACUCUAGGUAAAACACUCUUUCCACUGGGAGUUAUCCUGAUUAUUACCCUGAAAUGAACAAAAGACCAUCCUGAAGCUCUUCUUGGCUGCAUUGAGAAGAAAGAAGUCUUGAAUGAAGAAAUGAGAGUGGCUGGAGAGAACUUCCAGGAUGAAGAGGUUUCUGGAGCCUGACUGAGUAAGCAUUCAGCCAUUAUCUCCUCUUAGCAUCACUGUCCCCCUGGCUGGAGCACACAAGUGCAACCUUAAAGGUGUUCAUCAAACAAGAGAUCCCCUGCACAUGUGUUGAAUCAUAGAAGACGAGAUAAGACCCAGAACUAUGUGGAUGGCUUUUGAAUGGCUUGCUGAAUAUCACCAUCAAAAGAAACAUAAAACAGAGAAAAUGAUUGAGUGGAGGCAACUACUAUCAGGACAGAAUAGAGAAUCUUUCAGAUUCAAGAAGGCGUGAAGCUCCCUGAGAGGGUAUUAAAAAAAAAAAAGAACAGUGGAUGCUGGGGACUAUGAUUCCAGGUCAAGACUCCUAAUAUGCAAGAACCAGUACUAUUUGGUCAUCAACUAGGUAAUCUCCUAGUUCCCAUGGUUUUUGUUCUUUGUGUUCCACUGACCCUUUAGUAUUUUCUCAGCGUCAUAGGAGAUGCUCAAAAUUAGGUAAUGUGCAUAGGUC